UACAGGGGGGGCAAGCGUUGUUCGGAAUUACUGGGCGUAAAGGGUCUGUAGGUGGCUUGCUAAGUCAGACGUGAAAUCCCUCAGCUUAACUGGGGAACUGCGUCUGAUACUGAUGAGCUUGAGUGCAGGAGAGGAACGCGGAAUUCCAGGUGUAGCGGUGAAAUGCGUAGAGAUCUGGAGGAAUACCGAUGGCGAAGGCAGCCAUCUGGCCUAACACUGACGCUGAGGUGCGAAAGCAUGGGGAGCAAACAGG
rnacentral:rRNA from 1 species